UACUUGAGUGUCCAGUGAUGUUUUUAAAAAUUCAUUGCAAGAGCAUAUUUUAAGAGAAUGAAAGCUUACGAUGAUAAAGACUGAAGUGAUAAGACAUUAUGCCAACUCAGAAUUCAUAAAGAUUAUAUUGAGGCGUAAUAUGCUGUUAAGGCCUUCCUUGAUGAUGAGCUUAUGUUACUACGAACUUCAACAUGAAAAGAAGAGGAAGUGUGUGAAUCCUCUGAAGUGCAUAAAGAGAAACAUUAAUGAGAUUUGUGACAGUCUAUUUACCUUAGGAUGGGUUUUCAUAUGCCACCAUUCUGUUCCAUUUCCCACUUGCACCUUCAUGUUCUGGCACCAGUGGAUCAGCUUGGCUUCUUAUCCAAGUUGGUUUAUAGAGUCAAUUCCUAUUGGUUUAUCACAGCUGAUCACUUGAUUGAAAAACUAAGAACAUGAAAAUGUCAAGAGUGGAAGAUUUUUCUAAUCUUGGUUCAGCAUGAAGUGGUAUUUAGGUCCCUUUUAAGUCUAAUUGCAAUUUUAAGAUUUGUUGGGUUUUAUGAGAGGCUGUUACUUAGUGGCCUUAAAUCUUUUCUGAAUGUCUGUUUCCUAAGAUCUGUGAUACAGUUAUGUGAAUAUUUUGUUACUGACUUGUUUCAAUGGUUACUUGUAUAAGGAUUUUAUAUAUAUGAUACUAUAGAUAAAAUCCUAUUUAAGACAAAUUCUGUUAAUCAACAAGGGCUCUGUAUUUUUUUAAGUUAAAAUAUUUUCAUUUCUCAGUAAGUAGUCAGUUAUAAUAGUGAUUUAUUUAUGAAGAAUAAACUACUAUAGAAAGUACUUUGUGGGAACCUUUAUUACUGUGAAGGAGAAAAAUAGCUAUUUCUUGACAGUUCUAUAGUUAUACACAUAAAUUUUCAAAAUAAAGAAUACCAUACUACACAAUGAUCUCUGAUUUUGCUGAGGGAAGGAAUUAUAUAUGUGCCACUUUUUCCUCAAAUUUCAGAUGCCAGUUUUCACUUUUUGAAGCAUUGCAUCUUUUUAAUAAAUCUAUCCUGAAAGCUAUAUAAUAUAUAUAAUUUAUAUCAAUGAAUUUACAAUAACUAUCAAAUUGGCUAUCAGAAUUCACUGUAAUGGAAUUUUGCCUCUAAUAACAUAAAGGGGGAAGAAACAUAAAGUGGUUCUCUUAAUAAAACUAGCAGAAAAUGUUGCUUUAUGGCAUGUUUUUGUAUCAAAGAGAAAUCAGAGGUUAAACUUUGCUUUUAUCAUGAAAAGGGCCUGAUUUGAAGGUAGAGAUAGGCUUAGAUGAGAAAAAUUGAUAACGCAAUGUUAAUACUAUUGAUAUUUCAUAGGUAUAUUUUGUUAGAAAUUGGUUUUUUGGUGCUAAUCUAUAGGCACAAUAGUGAAUAUGAAUGAAGAGUAGGUGCUGCAAGUUAAUCCUACAUUGUGCCAGUGUAUAUUAGUACCAUGUAAAUGAAUAUGAAUAAAUGAACAUGAGGAUUAACGAACUGUUGAAAAUAGGCUGAGAUACUAGUUUUCUUUCUUUUUUAGAGGGGGCAUGAUAUUAAAGAUAGUUUUAAGUAACAAAUUACUUAUUACAAAGUUACAACAUGUGGAAUCAAUAGUUUUAUUUGUUCAUUAAUUUAUUCAUUCAGCAAACAUUUGUUGAACAUUUAAUGUGUACCAGAUAUUGCCAGGAUCAGGAAAUAAAGAACUAAAAAUGGACAUUCAGACUGCAAUUGCUAGUACAGGGGUCAAACAAAAUCAGUGAUUAGAAUUUAGUGCGUUAAGUUCCCUGAUGCCUUCACAGCCAGAAGAGGCUGUGAAGGGAUAAACACUUCUGAGAGUGGGUGGUAGUAGAACUGAGUAUUCAAGACUGAAUGUUAGGCAGGUAGACAGUGACUGGUUAGGCUGAGAAACUUACAAGUAUUUUCGUUGAGUUCUGCUUCCACUAUUAUUUACUUUACAAUGGAUAUGAAGUUCAGAUUUCAUCUUAUUUACUGAAGGUGGAGAAAGGAUGUGGAAGUAGGGGUUAUGGGCUCUCAAAAGUAGAUUUAGAGAGAUUUUUUUAUCACUGUUUUAUGAUAUAGUUCACUGAGCACUUACAUAGAUUAACAGUUACAAGUUUCCAUAAAUCAGUUAGAAUAUGACUAGCUUCAGGGAAGGAAUUUUCAACAACUGCAAUCUUUGAUUGUUUUACUGUGGGAACUUGCAGUGAUAUAAUUGACAACAUUAUUUAACAAUAAUAGGUAAAGUAGGCCGGGUGUGGUGGCUCACGCCUGUAAUCCUAGCACUUUGGGAGGCCGAGGUGGGUGGAUCACAAGGUCAGGAGUUCGAGACCAGCCUGGCCAAUAUGGUGAAACCCCGUCUCUUCUAAAAAAAUACAAAAAUUAGCCGGGUAUGGUGGCGCAUGCCUGUAGUCCCAGCUACUGGGGAGGCUGAGGCAAGAGAAUUGCUUGAACUCGGGAGGCGGAGGUCGCAGUGAGCCGAGAUCGUGCCACUGCACUCCAGCCUGGGUGACAGAGUGAGACUUUGUCUCAAAGAAAAAAAAACAAUAAUAGGUAAAGUAUUUAAGGAAUUCUCAGAUGCCUUAUGGACCUCUUCAAAAAUGUGGUUAGCCAAUUGAUUCAACUUUUAUAGGUUUAUAUGCUCUCAUGUAAACCUAUUUGUUUCCGAGAUCAGACGAGAUCGGGCGCGUUCAGGGUGGUAUGGCCGUAGACAACCUAUUUGUUAAAAACCCUUGGAAACACAUCUUUUAGUAGAGGUUCUUAUUUACUUAUAAAGAUUAAUAAUCAAAUUACUACAAUUAAUAUCCAUUUAGCCUUUUCAGUAGUCUAAAUAUUUGGUAACUCCCUAGCCAUCUAUAACACUAGUUCAAAACAAGGCUAAUUCAUAACCUGUCUUAAAAAUGUUUGAAGUGGUAUCAAGAGCAUUGUUUAUGCAUGUUGUGAUACUAUUUGUGGAACUGUUUAAUGAGCUAUUUCAAACUGCUAGAAGAAAAUGAAAUAAAAAUGGAAAAAUACUGUCAAA
rnacentral:lncRNA from 1 species